UACGUAGGCAGCGAGCGUUGUUCGGAGUUACUGGGCGUAAAGGGUGUGUAGGCGGUUCUUUAAGUUUGGUGUGAAAUCUCCCGGCUCAACCGGGAGGGUGCGCCGAACUACUGAGGGACUCGAGUGCGGGAGAGGAAAGUGGAAUUCCUGGUGUAGCGGUGAAAUGCGCAGAUAUCAGGAGGAACACCGGUGGUCGAGGCAGGGCUUCUGGCCGUAACUGACGCUGAGAGCGAAAGCGUGGGGAGCAACAGGAUUAGAACCGU
rnacentral:rRNA from 1 species